CCUACGGGAGGCUGCAGUGAGGAAUAUUGGUCAAUGGGCUUACGCCUGAACCAGCCAAGUCGCGUGAGGGAAGACUGCCCUAUGGGUUGUAAACCUCUUUUGUCAGGGAGCAACGCCGGCUACGUGUAGCCGGACUGAGAGUACCUGAAGAAAAAGCAUCGGCUAACUCCGUGCCAGCAGCCGCGGUAAUCCGGAGAAUGCGAGCGUUAUCCGGAUUUAUUGGGUUAAAAGGGUGCGUCGGCGGAAUGCCAAGUCAGCGGUAAAAUGGCGGGGUGCAACCUCGCUCCGCCGUUGAAACUGGCAGUCUUGAGUGGGCGAGAAGUAGGCGGAAUGCGUGGUGUAGCGGUGAAAUGCAUAGAUAUCACGCAGAACUCCGAUUGCGAAGGCAGCAUACCGGCGCCCAACUGACGCUGAAGCACGAAAGCGUGGGUAUCGAACAGGAUUAGAUACACGGGUAGUC
rnacentral:rRNA from 1 species